GCCCGCCUAGCUCAAUCGGAUAGAGCGUCAGACUCUUAAUCUACUUGGCGGUGCAGAUCUGAAGGCUGCGAGUUCGACCCUCGCGGUGGGCU
rnacentral:tRNA from 1 species